CACUUUUGAUAGUUCUGCUUAAAAUAUUCAAUAUCUAUUUUGAGAAAUGUAAAGGGCUAAUUUUUUUUCUUUUAAGCAUAGUAGGGUUAUACAUUAUUUCAUGGUUUUAGUGAGAUGAUUUCAGAAAUGUAUGUGUUUCAAACCUUUCUAUAGUUGUAUGUCUGGGAACUCCAAUAUUAAUUUUCCAGAGUGAUUGAUUUUAAUUUCAUUUUUCAGUGAAUAAACACAAAUUAUAUUGGACAAGAUUCCAAUCUGAAGAUCAAUAAGUCUUAGUUCCACACUACUGGAAGCUAAGAAGAGAGUUUUGAGAGUCUAAAUAUCAUUUUGAGAAGAAUGACAACAUAUAAGCCAAUUGAAAGAGACUUUUUUGAAGAAAUAUAAAUGGCAAUUAUGGCAAAGACUGAUCAGAAAGGCAUCAAAUUGGAAGAGAAAAAUUCACUGGGAGGUGGCUGUAAUGAAGGUAUGAUGUGAAGGC
rnacentral:lncRNA from 12 species